AAAGAUUUAAACUCAUUAGGCGUGCUUUAGAAGCAAUAGUUAUAAGUGAUCAAUGGGCAUAGUACCGAGAAGAUGACCAUGCCGAAAUUAGAUUUGUUCGUGACAAAGUGGUGGAUGAGGAUCAGUGGGGAAAAGGUUGAUUACAUCCUUGCUUUUACUAGACCCAUUUAUGACAUGAUUAUAGUUUGUGACAUGGAUAAGCCAUGCCUUCAUUUGAUUUAUGAAUUGUGGGAUUUUAUGAUUGAAAAAGUAAAAAAUGUUAUUUUUAAUCAUGAAGGAAAGUAAGCAGAUGAGUUUUCUCCUUUCUAUAAUGUGGAUCAUCGAAUUCUUG
rnacentral:misc_RNA from 1 species